CUCCCUGUGGCUCAAUUGGUAGAGCAUGGUGUUUGCAACGCCAGGGUUGUGGGUUCGAUUCCCACAGGGGGC
rfam:Salmo salar isolate Sally breed double haploid chromosome ssa29, whole genome shotgun sequence.